rnacentral:rRNA from 1 species
CGCGUAGGCGGUUUUGUUAGUCGGAUGUGAAAUCCCCGGGCUUAACCUGGGAACUGCAUUCGAUACUGCAUGACUAGAGUAUGGUAGAGGGAAGUGGAAUUUCCGGUGUAGCGGUGAAAUGCGUAGAUAUCGGAAGGAACACCGGUGGCGAAGGCGACUUCCUGGGCCAAUACUGACGCUGAGGUGCGAAAGCGUGGGGAGCAAACA